UAGUAGAAUUUUCAUUGAAUUCAUACACCUUCCAAAAUGUUGGCUAUCAAGAACCUUCUCAGGACCAACCCGUCGAUCGUUAGGAAUGUCGUCCAACAGAGAAACAUGAGCGGAGUCGCAAUCCCACCGAGGAACAAUGUUUCUAAGGGUGAGAUUUUUGUCCUGGCCGGCUCCAUGGUGAUUGCCUGGCUGUCCAUCCCCGCUUGGGUCCUAGUCAACAUUAAACAUUACCGUGACAAGAACUAAACGCUUAGAAAAAAUCAAUAUGUAGAAUAUAAUGAAAUUGUAUUAAGUAAAUAUUAAUUUAAUCAGG